rnacentral:rRNA from 1 species
UGGGGAAUAUUGCACAAUGGGCGAAAGCCUGAUGCAGCAACGCCGCGUGAGUGAUGAAGGCCUUCGGGUUGUAAAGCUCUGUCUUCUGGGACGAUAAUGACGGUACCAGAGGAGGAAGCCACGGCUAACUACGUGCCAGCAGCCGCGGUAAUACGUAGGUGGCAAGCGUUGUCCGGAUUUACUGGGUUUAAAGGGUGCGUAGGCGGCCCUGCAAGUCAGCGGUGAAAUGUGGCGGCUCAACCGUUUCGCUGCCGCUGAUACUGUAGGGCGUGGAUGCGGUCGAGGCGGGUGGAAUUCGUGGUGUAGCGGUGAAAUGCAUAGAUAUCACGAGGAACGCCGAUAGCGAAGGCAGCUCGCCGGGCCGCGAUCGACGCUGAGGCACGAAAGCGUGGGGAUCAAACA